AUGCGGGCUCCACUGAGGGAAGACUUGAACAAUGUGCCCGGCUUCAAGACUCAAGUACAAGAGACUACAGAGCUGGACAUAGAAAACACAACAGAGAGCUCAUCCACCAGCUUUCUGAAAAAUAUCCUGGGGAUAGAGCUGGGCUCAGUUCUACUGGUCAGGCUGAUCUGGUUAUCCUGGGUCUCAACAACAGCCCCAUCUGUCUAUCCACUGGCUCCUGCAUGUGGAGGCCCAACUGGCUCCACAGUGACCCUGGGAUGCCUGGUCAAGGGCUAUUUCCCUGAGCCGGCGACCGUUACCUGGAACCCUGGAACCCUGGCCAGCAGAGUGCGCACCUUCCCAUCGGUCCUGCAUUCUGGGUUCUACUCCCACAGCAGCUCAGUGACUGUGUCCUCCAGCAUGUGGCCCAGCCAGACCGUCACCUGCAACGUCGCCCACCCAGCCAGCCGCACCAAUUUGAGCAAGAGAAUUGCUAACGUCGGUGGACCCUCUGUCUUCAUCUUCCCUCCAAAGCCCAAAGAGACACUCCUGAUCACCCUGAUCCCCAAGGUCACAUGUGUAGUGGUGGAUGUGAGCGACGAAGAACCAGAUGUCCAGUUCAAGUGGUUUGUGAACAAUGUCGAAGUGUACACUGCUCAGACACAGCCACCUGAGGUGCUGAACAACGCUACCCUCCGUGUGGUCAGUGUCCUCCCCAUCCAGCACAAUGACUGGCUGAGUGGCAAGGAGUUCAAAUGCAAGGUCAACAACAAAGGCCUCCCAGGCCCCACUGAGAGAAUCAUCACAAAAUCCAAAGGGCAACCCAGGGUACCUCAAGUGUACGCCAUACCUCCACCUCGAGAACAAAUGUCCAAGAGGAAGGUUAGUCUGACCUGCAUGGUCACAGACUUCUUCCCUGAAGCCAUCAGCGUGGAGUGGGAAAGGAACGGGCAGCUGGAAGAGAACUUCAAGAACACCCCACCCAUUCUGGACUCAGACGGGUCCUACUUCCUCUACAGCAAGCUCACUGUGGACACAAGCAGCUGGUUGCAAGGAGAAACUUUUACCUGUUCUGUGGUACACGAGGCUCUGCAUAACCACCACACGCAGAAGAACCUCUCCCGCUCCCCCGGUAAAUGA